rnacentral:rRNA from 1 species
UACGGAGGGUGCAAGCGUUAAUCGGAAUUACUGGGCGUAAAGCGCGCGUAGGUGGUUUUGUAAGUCGGAUGUGAAAGCCCCGGGCUCAACCUGGGAAUUGCAUUCGAUACUGCAUGACUAGAGUAUGGUAGAGGGAAGUGGAAUUCCAGGUGUAGCGGUGAAAUGCGUAGAUAUCUGGAGGAACAUCAGUGGCGAAGGCGACUUCCUGGACCAAUACUGACACUGAGGUGCGAAAGCGUGGGUAGCAAACAGG